AACGAACGCUGGCGGCAGGCUUAACACAUGCAAGUCGAACGCUCGUAGCAAUACGGGAGUGGCGGACGGGGUGAGUAACGCGUGGGAACGUGCCCUGAGGUACGGAAUAACUGCGGGAAACUGCAGCUAAUACCGUAUGAGCCCCGUAGAGGGGGAAAGAUUUAUCGCCUUAAGGAGCGGCCCGCGUCGGAUUAGCUAGUUGGUGGGGUAACGGCUUACCAAGGCUUCGAUCCGUAGCUGGUCUGAGAGGACGAUCAGCCACACUGGGACUGAGACACGGCCCAGACUCCUACGGGAGGCAGCAGUGGGGAAUCUUGCGCAAUGGGGGCAACCCUGACGCAGCCAUGCCGCGUGAAUCGAUGAAGGCCUUAGGGUUGUAAAGUUC
rnacentral:rRNA from 1 species